AUGAAUGGGCUCAAUGCGCAUAUAAAGGCUGGGGAGGAGCGAUCAGAAAGGAAUGGAAUUCCAGUCUCCCGCAGGUGGAGGCCAGCCCCGGGGCCGGCCCCGACCGGGAGGAGUAGGACUGGGGAGAGGGCAGAGGUGGGGCCCCGUGACUCUACCAGGAAGCUAGGGUCCAAGGACCAAGCAUUUCCCUGUCCCACCCUGAGAGCCGGAACCUUCGGCGCUGGUAAGUUGGCUUUGACUCUUGGAAGAGUAAGUAAGUGCCUUCUCUGCGGGGCGGGGCGGGGCUCCCUGGCUUCUCAGCCUCUGGGGAGGGGGCCUGCCGGACGGCUCGAGGAAGCGCCCCCUUCCUUCCCCGCCGGGAAACUCCAGGAAGAGGCUUGGAGUGGGAGGGACCGGGGCCGGCGGACUACACCCCCGGCUCUCCUAGAAACCAGCCGGCGACAUUCCGGGAGCCCCAGAGGCAGCCACCAGGCUGGUGGACCCCACAGGAGCCCCAGAGGACAGCAAGACCCCAGGGCGGAGCCAGCUGAGCCCACAGCCGCUGGUGGCCAGAGCCCUGGGGGAGGCCGGGCCCAAGACCCCACUGGAGCAGGUCACCCGGGAGCGGGACGAUGCCAUUGCCAAGAAGCUGGCAGUAGAAGCCGAGCUGGGCAUCUGCAGGGCCAAACUCCAAGCCUCGGAGAAGCAGUUGCUGGAGGUGGUGGCAGAGAAGCUGAAGCUGAUGGAGGAGAUCGAGGCCUGGAAGGAAGACAUGCAGGAGCUGAUCCGCCAACAGAUUCACAGGCAGCUGCAGAGAGAGGGCAGGGCCCCUGCCUCCGAGCCCAGAGCCCCCCGGGCUGGCCUGACCUCCCAUUUCUCCCAGUGGCAGUGGAGAUGGCGGAGGACUACAUUCUCUGCUUCCAACUCCACUGAAGACUCAGAGCCCUAAUCCUUUUUUGACUCCAUGACCUGUCCUGGGGAUUUGAUGGAUCCUUGACACUGAUUGCAGGACUAUGGGAUGCUUCUGACUGUCAAGAAGGCUGAUGCUCUGCCCUCCAGGCCCUAGUGGAUAAACCUCAUCUGCUACAACAUCUGGACCAUGGGCUAUGCUGAUUCCUCUCAUUCUGUUUCUGAUGAAGACCAAGGGGACCCAUCUAAACGGAGGCAGGAGAGCCUGCUGCUCAGUGCUCCUGGUCUCAGACUAGCUGGAAUCAUGGUUGCCUGGGCUCCUCCUUUGUUUCUGGGGCUUGAACUUGGAGUUAGCAGUCUCCCCAACUCCUUAUGCUUGUUGACCCUCCUCCGACCUGGGGGUGCCUACUAGUAGCCUGGGUAUUUGGCAAAGAAUCAAGCUGGUUCAUUCAAUAUUCAUUAAGUAAAUUAUGCUAUGUGCUGGGCAUACCAAGACAAAAUAAAAAGUCUGUCUGGCCUCA
rnacentral:lncRNA from 1 species